GACGAACGCUGGCGGCGUGCUUAACACAUGCAAGUCGAACGGAAAGGCCCUGCUUUUGUGGUGUGCUCGAGUGGCGAACGGGUGUGUAACACGUGAGUAACCUGCCCUUGACUUUGGGAUAACUUCAGGAAACUGGGGCUAAUACCGGAUAGGAGCUCCUGCUGCAUGGUGGGGGUUGGAAAGUUUCGGCGGUGGGGGAUGGACUCGCGGAUUAUCAGCUUGUUGGUGGGGUAGUGGAUUACCAAGGCUUUGACGGGUAGCCGGCCUGAGAGGGUGACCGGCAACAUUGGGACUGAGAUACGGCCCAGACUCCUACGGGAGGCAGCAGUGGGGAAUAUUGCACAAGGGGCAGAAGCCUGAUGCAGCAACGCCGCGUGCGGGAUGACGGCCUUCGGGUUGUAAACCGCUUUCGACUGUGACGAAGCGUGAGUGACGGUAAUGGGUAAAGAAGCACCGGCUAACUACGUG
rnacentral:rRNA from 1 species